AAAGGUACUCAAGGGCACUAAAUGGAUGCCUAGACGUAUAUUACCGAUGAAGGACGUGGAAGACUGCGAUAAGCUUCGGGUAGCUGCCAACAAGCUAUGAUCCGGAGAUUUCCGAAUGGGAAAACCUAGCAUGAGGAAAGUCAUGUUGUCCUGCGCUGAAUACAUAGGCGUAGUGAACGGGAACCAUCUGAACUGAAACAUCUUAGUAGGAUGAGGAAAAGAAAGUAAAUAACGAUUCUCGGAGUAGUGGCGAGCGAAACGGGAAGAGCCCAAACCUUAUAAGUUUUUGCCUGUUCGCAGGCAAAUAAGCUGAUAGGCGAAUGCUUACAAGGGGUUGUGAUAUUACACACGACCAAGCCAGAGAACUUGAAUUCGUUCGAGGUAUCUGGUUUGCGACUACUGGCUAUCAACGGUAGGUAAGGUAAGAAAACAGCGUGGUUAGCAGAAUAGUUUGAAUGGCUAGCCAAAGAACGUGAAAGCCGUGUACGCAAAAACGACGCUGACCUUAUAUGUGUUUUAUCGAGUAGGACGGGGCACGAGAAACCCUGUUUGAAUCUGGCUGGACCACCAGCCAAGGCUAAAUAUAAUAUACGAUCGAUAGUGAACAAGUACAGUGAUGGAAAGGUGAAAAGAACCCCGGGAGGGGAGUGAAAUAGAUCCUGAAAUUUAGUGCCUACAAGGAGUCGGAGCCGGCUUGUCCGGUGACGGCGUGCUUUUUGUAGAACGAUCCAGCGAGUUAAUUUCGUGCGCAAGGUUAAGCCAGUUGGCGGAGCCACAGUGAAAGCGAGCCUGAAUAGGGCGAUUAAGUGUACGGGAUUAGACCCGAAACCGGGUGACCUAACCAUGAGCAGGUUGAAGCCACUGUAACAGGUGGUGGAGGACCGAACCAGGAUACGCAGCAAAGUGUUUGGAUGACUUGUGGUUAGCGGUGAAAUGCCAAUCGAACUCGGAGAUAGCUGGUUCUCCUCGAAACAGUUUUAGGACUGGCGUCAUGUGGUAGCAGUCGGGGGUAGAGCUCUGUAAAGGACUGGGGGGAGCAAUCCUACCCACCCUUAACAAACUACGAAUACCGGCUGUGGAAUCAUGGCAGUUAGAACGGCGGAGCUAAGUUCGUCGCUCAAAAGGGAAACAGCCCAGACCAUCGUCUAAGGUCCCUAAAUUUACGUUAAGUGGGAAACAAGGUGAGAUUUCUUAAACAGCUAGGAUGUUGGCUUAGAAGCAGCCAUUCAUUUAAAGAGUGCGUAACAGCUCACUAGUCAAGAGAUCUUGCGUGGAAAAUGUAACGGGGCUAAACGUAAUACCGAAGACAUGGGUCUAUGCAUUAGCAUGGGCGGUAGAGGAGCGUUCCUAUCGGCAGUGAAGCAGCAUUGUAAAGUGCUGUGGAGCGGUAGGAAGUGAGAAUGCUGGAAUGAGUAACCAUAAGAGAGGUGAGAAUCCUCUCGGCCGUAAGAGCAAGGUUUCCUGAGCUAUGGUAAUCAUCUCAGGGUUAGUCGGGCCUAAGCCGAGGCGCAUAGCGUAGGCGAUGGACAUCAGGUUGAUAUUCCUGAACCGGCGUAGUUUGUACACUGUUCACGGAGAGAUAUUCAGAGCGGAUUCAUGGUUUAUCCGUCCAACCGAGCGGGAACGCAAAGGGAGUGAAAGUUACUCUGCGGAGUGAUGAUUCUGGAAAAGGCUCUGGCUAGAAAAGCAGGUGUACGCGUGGCUAUGUCCGCCCGUACCGCAAACCAACACAGGUGCUCGAGUCGAGUAGACUCAGGCUUACGAGUGAACCUUCGCUAAGGAACUCGGCAAUACAGCGACCGUAACUUCGGAAUAAGGUCUGCCCCCACUUCGGUGGAUAUGUUGUCGGUUUCAAAGCUAGCAGGUGUGGUUGAAGAGUAUCUUUAAUACAUCAAUUCUUCUUGAGAUAGAACCAAUAGCUUUUGGAACUGAAGCUCAACGCAUCUAGCGAUGUGGGGGCCGCAGCAAAAGAGCCCACGGAACUGUUUAUCAAAAACACAGCUCUCUGCUAACACGAAAGUGGAUGUAUAGGGGGUGACUCCUGCCCGGUGCUGGAAGGUUAAGGGGAGUGCUUCACGGUACGAACUGAAGCCCCAGUGAACGGCGGCGGUAACUAUAACCGUCCUAAGGUAGCGAAAUUCCUUGUCAGGU
rnacentral:rRNA from 1 species